rnacentral:rRNA from 1 species
UACGGGGGGAGCAAGCGUUGUUCGGAUUUACUGGGCGUAAAGGGCUCGUAGGCGGCCAACUAAGUCAGACGUGAAAUCCCCAGGCUCAACCUGGGAACUGCGUCUGAUACUGGAUGGCUUGAAUUCGGGAGAGGGAUGCAGAAUUCCAGGUGUAGCGGUGAAAUGCGUAGAUAUCUGGAGGAAUACCGGUGGCGAAGGCGGCAUCCUGGACCGACAUUGACGCUGAUGAGCGAAAGCUAGGGGAGCAAACGGGG